rfam:Triticum aestivum genome assembly, contig: Triticum_aestivum_CS42_TGACv1_scaffold_157937_2DL
UUAAUACUCCCUCCAUCUGAAAAUACUUGUCAUCAAAAAAGAUAAAAAAGGGAUGUAUCUAGAACUAAUAUACGUCUAGAUACAUCCCCUUUUAUUCAUUUUGAUGACACAUAUUUCCGGACGGAGGGAGUAAUUU